rnacentral:misc_RNA from 1 species
UUUCCGUAGGUGAACCUGCGGAAGGAUCAUCAAUGAAUCCGGCCUGUAACACACCCCUGUGGAUAAUGUCAGGUGCGCGCGCGCGCUUGAGUUCGCGCGGGCGUUCAGCCGGCGGGCCCACCGCGCGCGCACCCAUCAUUUUUAAAAAAACACACACCGAUACGACCGCCUUUUGAAUCUAUAUUAAAAAAAAUGUACACAACUUUUAACAACGGAUCUCUUGGUUCUC